ACAUGAAUGGUAUGGAAUAACAAUAAUUUCUUGCUUCAAUUUACAAGCACAUAUUAUGCAUGAAAUGACUUAGUUCACAUAUCCAUAAUAAUAUGCCUUUUAUUAUAUUUUUUUUAGCACGUCAUUUAUUAUUAGCUGAAAUUAAUUAAAAAUUACUAAAAAUUAUAAAUCUCACAUCUUAUUUAAUAAGAUUUAUUCAUGAUUUUAUAAUUUUUUAAUAAAUUUUAAUUAAUAAUAAAAAAUAUUUUGAUAGCAUUUCUCAUGUCUACUAUUCACACUCUUCCUAUGCUCUAAACAAUGUAAAAUAUACCAUAUCAUAUAUAUGUAUGUUCUAUAAAAGUCAACAAUUCUAAGAUACAUGUUAAAUUGUGAUUUAAUGAUAAUAUAAAAUAUUAUUUUAUAACGAACUUAUUUUAUUUAAAUUUUAAUACUAUUGGUAGCUUGAAGGCUGUGGGGGAGGAUGGAUUCCAAGCUCUUUUCUAACAGAGUCAAUGGGAAACUAUUGGUCCUGAAUUAUAUAGGUCAUAGGUAUUAGGAGUGUUUUUGAGUUCUGUAAUUUGCCUAUUUAAAGGCUCUCAACAUUCUGAAUGAAAUCAAGUGUUGCCUUGAAACCUGUGUGAAGAAAACUGUGGUAUUGUCCCUCCUAAGGAUGAUGCGAGAGAAGAUAUCUUUGUUUGGAAAGGCCCUGAGAGAAUGAGAUAUCUCCUUUGGAAGAUAGGAAAGUCGUCCUCCAUGACUAACCAGAGAGGAUGGAGAAUGGGGGAUUGCGCCUAAUCCUCUCUGUUCCCUGGUGCAAACUGCAAUAAUUUUGUUCAACAAAAGGCACUAUGCCAUGCCAAACUCUUUAGAAAGUCAUACUUCAGCUUUGAUUCUAAAGAUUACUAUUGCGUGCAGCAGGGUAUGAAAUUCGGCUUUUUUUAAAUUUAUUUUUAGCUUCUAAUAAUUCUUACUAAUUAAGCAUGAGGCGAAAAAAUAUAGUAAUGAUGUGUAAGCCCAUUGUUGCACAUCUCAGAAAUUAUAUAUUAUAAAUAGAUUGUAGCAUCUUUUAGUAUCAGUAUCUGUCGCCGUUGGAAACAGGGCAGCUGCAGGAGAUGAAUGAUGCAUCUUUCCUGAUAAAUGCGUGGUGUUUUUUCUGAAUCUGAUAUCAUACUUUAAUGCGUACUUUUUGUAAUCAAAAGAUGGUUUAUGUUGUUAUACAAAUGUUACCUAGUUCUAAUUAUGUGCACGUUACACUAAUUGUUGAUUUGUUAUCAUUCAUAUUAGUUUUCUGGUUAAACAAAGCACUAUAUUCGAGAUUAGAGCGUCUCCCUCUUUUAGAUGAUGGAACAAAUGUCGUUUGCACUUUCCUAUGCUUCUUGUCUACUUAAACAUAGUUGAUUCAGAGCAUAUAAAUGGUGAUCAAUAAAUCAGCGACCCAAAUUCAAACAGAGCUAUAUUGCUUUUUGGGCCUCCUGGUACUGGAAAAAAAUGCUAGCAAAGGCAAUUGCAAACGAAGCUAGUGUUCAAGUUUCAUUAAUGUCUCAAUGUCAACCAUCAUUCACAUCAAAAUGGUUUGGAGAGGAUGAAAAGAACAUUCGAGCUCUGUUCCGAUGUACAUGAACUUACAUAUAUCUGAUUAAAUGGAGGUGGAUGCAAGUUUUGCGUCAGAAGGAUCCGUAAUGAAUGAGUUAAAGCAGUGGAAUGAUUUGUAUGGAGAAGGAGGUUCAAGGAAGAAACAACAGCUGACUCGCUUCCUUUAGAUUGUGGAAUGCUACUUUUAUUAUUGGAUUUGUGACAAUUCAUCUUCAAUGAUACAUUUCAACAAAGGAAGGAGUCCUUCACCAGAGAUGUUGAACUCAAAGCAUGCCUAAAUGUCUCACUAUAUCCCAAAUGUCACAGAGAUAUCAUGAUUCCCAUGCCAGAAAAGCACAAGUUCUGCAACAUGCAUCUAUUCUCUAAAGGACGUGUAGAUCAUCAUGCACUAUGUUUAGGAAUGGGUUCUCGGUUUUCGUUUGAGUUGUCUACAAAAAAAUGAGCACCUGUAUUAGGGGAUUCAUGUUACAGAAAAUCACAGUAGUUUAUAAGAAAAACAUUUAUAGUAAUAAUGGAGAUCAUCAAUAUUUUAGGAUUAAGUAUUGAACAUCAAUAAUUAUUAGUUUAAUGAUUAUUCAAUGACAAUAUAGUUUUAUAUUAUUAAUUAAUUUUAAUAUAACUUUUGUAAAACUCCACAAACUUAUCAUAUACACAUCAGUAAAUAAUUGUUGAAUGACUAUAAAAUAAUUUAACAUUAUUAGUACACAAUAUAUUUUCUCUAAUUAUAUCUCUAUUUUAUUUUAUUAUCAUGAAAACUUUUCAUCCAAAUUUUUAAAAGAUUAGAUAGGACAUAGUUUUAUUAAAAUAAAGUAUUGAAUAUAAACACUAGAUCACCCAACCACUCAAACAAGCAAGAAAUCGUGACCCUACUUCAUUACCAUGCUACAUUUACACAUUUAGUUAUUCAUUGGUAAUAAAUCUCAUAUUUCUUUUAUAAUUUAUGAAAGCAACUUAGCCAUUGUAUCACAAAAAUAAUAUAUCUUUUAAUAUAUAUAUAUAUAUAUAUAUAUAUAUAUAUAUAUAUUAUUUGAAAUCGAAAAUAAUGUUAAACAAUUUACUAUGUAAGACACCAUUAAUUACGUGACCAGAUUUUCUAGUUACUGAUCUUGGAUGUGAACAGCUUGUCCCAUGGAUUCAGUCUGUUCCAGGAAGGCAAGAGUAGUGGGAAUCUGAAGACUAAUGAAUCUAACAAGGUAUGCCUGUUUACAUCUAUUCAAGGAAAAAAACAAUGGUGGAGAGUGCCCAUCAUUAUAUAUAUUCAGUUUUUAUUUAUUGAUGUGUAUUCUGUUACAUUAGGAAAAUUCUGGAGAAGAUAUUACUGGUGCAAAGAAUGAAAUGAAGUGUGACAACCAAGCACCUGAAAACAAGAGUGAGACAGAGAAAUCCAAGCCAGUAACGAAGAAAGAUGGUGAAAAUACUACACCCGCAAAAGUG
rnacentral:lncRNA from 1 species